rnacentral:lncRNA from 1 species
AUAGAUUUUCUAAAUUAUUUUCGCGGUAACCAAUAAUAUUUAAUUAUUUUUAUUAUAUUUAUUACAAUAAAUGCUUGUCGUAACAAUAUAUUUAAUACACUAAUAAUAAAAAUAAAUAAUUCAUGAAUAAAAAGAUAAAAAAUACAUGUAUCUAUACUAAGAAAUAGAAUGAGAAUAAGUUUAGAUUCAGGGUGAGUUUUGAGAAAAAAAUAUUAUGAUUUUACACAUCCAAACUAAUAGGGAAGCCACAUGGAGUCGACUACACGAUAAGAUUACACAUAAUCGAAUAUAGUAUAAAGCAUGACAAUAAAAAGAACAUCGAAGAAUCUGUUCGAGAAACGACAAGUAAUACACGGAAUUUCAACACUUCCUAUACAAGUUCAGUGAGACAACCUCAACAUGUCAUCAAUAUAGAGAUUCAGUAACAGUUAUAAAGUAUCCAGCAUUCUUGAGAAAUUAACUAGUAUUUCUUCUGCAGUUUACAUUUCUUUCUUGUAACACAAUAUGAAUAUUACACAUUCUUUUGUGUAAUCCAUAUAAUAUUGGACAACCAGGCCGUAUACUCAAUCCCCAUCCAGAUUUUAAUUGUGGGGAGAAGGGAGAAUAUGGUGUCUUUAUACAUGCCUGCAGAGACUUCUAACAAAUUUUCAUCAUUAUUUUUUAACAAAUCAAAGCUUGCUAAUCGAAUACCUAUACCGGGUUUACAAAAGUGUCACCAAAGAUUCCCUAUCUCAGUGAAUCAUCAACCAUCCUGUAAUCGUGUUUCUUGCGACGGCAUCUGUAAUGAGACUUUUGAUCAGCGAAUGUGUUCUCCCCAACCAUCUCCAUUUUAGAAUCUGUAUCUGCUGCAAGGAAAAGGCAAAUCAGAUUUGUCAUGAACUGUGUAUUCACAUUAAAAGUUUCACCCCUGGUAAAUCAGAAACCUAACAACUAACACUUAAAUUCUUAUCACCAUAUCACAAAAUUGCCACCACUUUGCCUAAGAGUUUGUAGCUCAAUGGCAGAGAACUCCAGGAUGGUGCUUGUGGUCAGGAGUUCAACUCCAUCUCCAUGUCCUAUAGAGCUAAUAAAAAAAAAAGCCACCAAUUCAAAAGUGGCUAAAUGGCAAUUUCGCAUCUCAAAUAUCCAACUUUUCUUGCUCCAUCUUUUCUACAUGUAUAUUUGCCUUUCAAUUUUUUCUUCCCCACACAUACAGGAAAAACCAUUUACCAGUUCAAGAAACCAACUUUCAGGACCUCAUUAUGACUUAUAUACAGCACAAUUGUAUGUGAGUGACACAAGAUGAGCAAUCCCGUGUUUAUCUUUGGGCAUCAUAGGGGAAAGGGCACUAAGUAGGAUUUGAAAAUAUUAUGAACCCCAAAAGAUGACAAGAAGGACAAAUAAACAUCAACUAAAUAACCCUCUCUUUAUAUGGAUUCUCUAUGCUAUGUUGGUUAUUUAGGAAUUCUUGAAAGACACACUAACUCCCUAAAAGUUAGAUGCCUUUUACAAGAUAUAAUCCUGGGACAAUAACCCACAAACAUCUGACAAUUCAUCACUCACUGUUGGUAAAGUGAUGAACACUACUUAAAUAGCAGCAACUUGGAAAACCUAAGAGAAAAGAUCNNN